rnacentral:rRNA from 1 species
AUUGAACGCUGGCGGCAGGCCUAACACAUGCAAGUCGAGCGGAUGAAGAGAGCUUGCUCUCUGAUUUAGCGGCGGACGGGUGAGUAAUGCCUAGGAAUCUGCCUGGUAGUGGAGGAUAACGUCCGGAAACGGGCGCUAAUACCGCAUACGUCCUACGGGAGAAAGCAGGGGACCUUCGGGCCUUGCGCUAGCAGAUGAGCCUAGGUCGGAUUAGCUAGUUGGUGAGGUAAUGGCUCACCAAGGCUACGAUCCGUAACUGGUCUGAGAGGAUGAUCAGUCACCCUGGAACUGAGACACGGUCCAGACUCCUACGGGAGGCAGCAGUGGGGAAUAUUGGACAAUGGGCGAAAGCCUGAUCCAGCCAUGCCGCGUGUGUGAAGAAGGUCUUCGGAUUGUAAAGCACUUUAAGUUGGGAGGAAGGGCAGUAAGUUAAUACCUUGCUGUUUUGACGUUACCGACAGAAUAAGCACCGGCUAACUUCGUGCCAGCAGCCGCGGUAAAAC